GAUGAACGCUGGCGGCGUGCCUAAUACAUGCAAGUCGAACGAGGUGCUUUUGUAGCAAUACGAAAGUAUCCUAGUGGCGAACGGGUGAGUAACGCGUUGGUGACCUACCCCAAAGUGUGGGAUAACAGUUCGAAAGAACUGCUAAUACCGCAUGUGGUUAUCGGGUUUAGAAACUGAUAACUAAAGGAGCAAUUCGCUUUGGGAGGGACCUGCGUCCCAUCAGCUAGUUGGUGAGGUAACGGCUCACCAAGGCUACGACGGGUAGGGGACCUGAGAGGGUGGCCCCCCACAAUGGAACGUGAACAACGGUCCAUACACCUACGGGUGGGCAGCAGUAGGGAAGU
rnacentral:rRNA from 1 species